rnacentral:rRNA from 1 species
AUGAACAUAGUGCUCUGGAGGUUCGCACAUGACUGCCUCCCAUCCGGACUUCAAUUGGGCCUUCAGAAUAUCCCCCCAAAUUAUGCUUGUGUGCAUCAUGGGGGAGAUGAGAGUAUUGAGCAUUGUUUGUUGUUCUGUCAGUUCGCUUCCGAGGUUUGGAACAAGGUCAAAAAACGGUUUGACAUCCACCUAUGUCGCAAGAACUUUCGUUCAACUAAACAGUGGCUAUUCGAUUUCAUUGACAGAGCAUCACCAGAGCAGUCCACUGUGUUGGCAAUCACCGUAUGGCAUAUUUGGGAAGCAAGGAAUGCGGUAAGAAAUGGUGAAAGUAAUAUCCAUCCACACCGUGUUGCCUCAAACAUACAUGGUUAUAUCGAUUUGGUUCUGCUGCAUCUUUUUAAGACUGUUGCGGGACACAGUCGUGAGACACCAUCAAGUUCAUUGGUUAGAUGGUCUCCGCCGCCGCCCGGAUCAGUCCUUAUUAAUGUCGAUGCAGCUAUCUUUUCAAACCUGCACAAACUGGCAAUUGGCAUCUUGAUUCGGAACCACAAAGGCGAAUGCUUGGUCGCUUGCACUGAGCCACUUAAAGGGAUGGUACAGCCAGAACUUGCUGAAAGCUGGGCGCUCCGUCAUGCCGUGAUUCUCGCCCGUGAUGAGAGGCUGACCUCUGUCAUUUUCGCUUUAGACUGCCUCUCCUUAGUACAAAGAAUGAACUCUUCAUCCAUGGACAGGUCUGAAGUGGGUGUAGUGGUGUCAGAUAUUAAGCAUUUGGUUGCUUGUUUUUCUUCAGUUUCCUUCUGCCAUGUCAAGCGGUCGUUGAAUGCUGCUGCUCAUAUACUAGCUAGGUCCUGUGAGUUUGCCAGUUCAAAAGCCGUGUACUAUUCUACUCUAGAGUGUAUCAGGCAAACUCUAUGUAUUGAUGUAUACUAA